GGGAAGAUCAUGCGGUCUUUCCUACCUUCCGCAGACCGGGGAUGGUUGGUAGUGCUGCCGGGGUCCGCAUGGCGAGCGACUCCUGCCGCGAGGCCGCGCGCGUGGCUGCCGAAAGCGGCGGCCCGGGACAGGGGCGCGUGGCCGCCCUGAGCCUGGUGAGGCGGCCGGGCCUCGGGCCCGGAACGCGAGAAAGGCAGCGAUCCUGGCCUUGCUCGGCCACGUUCUCCAUGUGAUGUCUGGAGGGCCGGGACCGGCCUGCUAGCUGCGUUUCCUUACCAGGAAAAUGGGGACACUCGUUUCCUGUAUUUUAAGUUUACUGAUGAUCGACUGCAUGCCAGGGAGUCUUUAAUAUAAGCAAGGAUAUUUUCGUGAAUGAGAACGGUCUUACCCCAGUGUAAAAUCGGUGAAUGUAGAAGUAAAAUGUGCCGUUUAGGGUUUAGAUCAUUAGAACUUCCUGCCAUAGCUGCGGAACUUGACAGUGAAUGAGUUAUGGAAUUCAGGAGGAAAACUGAUGCUUGAAAAUGGCUGCUGCUAAUUUUAAUACCAUUUGCACAAAAAUGACUUAAGGAUGACCUUUGUGAUGAUUUUGAAUUUUUGAUCUUCAGAGAAGUUACUUGGAUCACUGAAAUAAUUGCCUUUGGGCAGUCCAUAAUUAGGUGUUUAAACCAAUGGGGAUUUGAAUAAACUAUUAAAUGUG